UGGCUCAAAGCUUUUUCACUACCUUUGCUCAAGCCCCUUUCAUCGUGAUCUCUCCAACAUCUCUGACAUCUCUGACACUAUAGUUCCUCUUCUUCAAGCCCUUUGUGAGCUCCGUGAGCUCUUGGGAGACACCUUCCCAUUGUUCUUCUCUAUUCCUUGUUGUCGAGUUGGUUUACCAUUAUUCUUUGGCUUCAAAGUCAAUUUCUACUGGGAAUUGUUCUAAAGGAGCCAAAAGAAUAGAGUUAAAAAUCGAUGACUAGCUUGACUUCAUCAUAGAAUUGACAGUUGAUGAUCUUGGCAAGGAAACAUUUGCCAUUGGGGGUGCUUUGGACAAGAGUUGGAAGGUGAUCAAAAAUAGCGAAUGUUCACAUGAUCCACGCAAAGUAUUCAUGUUAGAGGAUAAAAAUGAUAAUCUAUUGGAGUGCAUUGUUUUUAAGAUUAAAGUUAUUCGUGCAUUCGUGUGGCACCAAAUGUAAUUAUUCUCUUUUUUCUUUCUUUUCUCAAGUUUUGCACAUUAUCUUUUGGCUUGUGUUCAAUAUCUCUUUCCUUUAAUUACAUUGUUACUUGGAUAGAUUGAUUUGUAUGAAAAAGAAAAGAGU